ACUUUGUCCAGCACACAGAUAAGAACUAGGGACAACCAGUGCUCUGUUUGUACCUACACACACCGACGUAUCCCGAGCAAGAAAAAUGAAGACAAUCUGGAUUCUGGCUAUUUGUUUUGCCACAGUCUGAUUCGUUACAGUGUACAGUGAAUCGUGUCAGCAUGACGAUGAUUGUCAACUGGUUCACUGCUCAACUGGUUCCGUCAACUGUAUCCACCAUAUAUGUACCUGUACCGAAAACACCGGUCAAACGUGUACUGGGAAGGACGACUGCAGCUUCCACUGUUUCCACGGUAAACCUCAUUGCGUGGACGGCCUGUGUCACUGCUACGGAGAUUAGAGGCAGCGUCAUAACUGAUAAAAUCCUAUAGUUGAUCACAAUCACAUUAAAUCAAAGAAAUUUGUAC
rnacentral:misc_RNA from 1 species